CUUUAACACUUCAUGACUCAGAGCUGCUGCUACAGCAACUUCACCCACAGCUACCAUGACUUUGAUCCCUGUCUUCAUCUGGACACUGAUCCUCUGGACUCAAGAAUGCAGAGGGCAAGCUACAAUAACUCAGACUCCUGCAGUGAAAUCUGCUCUUCCAGGAGAAACAGUCACCAUCAACUGUAGAACCAGUCAGGCAGUGUCUUCUCACAGCUCAUACGGUGACCGAUUACACUGGUAUCAGCAGAAACCUGGAGAAGCUCCUAAACUCCUGAUUAAAUUUGUAAAUCAGCUACAGUCUGGUGUUCCAGCUCGUUUCAGUGGCAGUGGAUCUGGAUCUGAUUUCACUCUGACCAUCAGUGGAGUCCAGACUGAAGAUGCAGCAGAUUACUACUGUCAGAGUCACCAUUCCAUCACUGGCUACUGGUUCACACAGUGUUAUAGAGUCGUACAAAAACCUCCCUCAGUCAGAUUGUAGAGAGACUGCACUGCUGCAGCUGGGAGCGACUGCAGGUGCUGUGUUGGAGGAUGUGAU